GGGGGCUUCCUGGGGAGUCUUCCCGCAUCAGGACUUGGAAGCAGGGGGUGAGACGGAGUUGAAUUCUCCUCCUCACUUUUCUCUGGACCAAAAGAGAAGAAUCAACUUCCAGAUCCUCCCAACCUUUGCAAGGCAGCUGCCGGCGCCCUUUGAGGAGUUGGCCACGUAUCUUUCCCACGGAGGCUGGAAUCUUCUGGAUGCAGCUGAGAGAGCUCUGCACGAGGACCUCCUGCUGAAGACCUCUGGGGACAAAGUCUUUCCAGACCUAUUUCCAGAAGACAUCGAUCGAAAAUGGCUUCCCC